AUUGAACGCUGGCGGAAUGCUUUACACAUGCAAGUCGAACGGCAGCACGGACUUCGGUCUGGUGGCGAGUGGCGAACGGGUGAGUAAUGUAUCGGAACGUGCCCAGUCGUGGGGGAUAACGUAGUGAAAAUUACGCUAAUACCGCAUACGAUCUAUGGAUGAAAGCGGGGGAUCGCAAGACCUCGCGCGAUUGGAGCGGCCGAUAUCAGAUUAGGUAGUUGGUGGGGUAAAGGCCCACCAAGCCAACGAUCUGUAGCUGGUCUGAGAGGACGACCAGCCACACUGGAACUGAGAAACGGUCCAGAAUCCUACGGGGGGCAGCAGUGGGGAAUUUUGGACAAUGGGCGAAAGCCUGAUCCAGCCAUUCCGCGUGCAGGAUGAAGGCCCUCGGGUUGUAAACUGCUUUUGUACAGAACGAAAAGGUUUCUACUAAUACUAGGAGCUCAUGACGGUCCUGUAAGAAUAAGCACCGGCUAACUACGUGCCAGCCGCCGCCGUAA
rnacentral:rRNA from 1 species